UACGAAGGGGGCUAGCGUUGCUCGGAAUCACUGGGCGUAAAGCGCACGUAGGCGGAUUGUUAAGUCAGGGGUGAAAUCCUGGAGCUCAACUCCAGAACUGCCUUUGAUACUGGCGAUCUCGAGUCCGGGAGAGGUGAGUGGAACUGCGAGUGUAGAGGUGAAAUUCGUAGAUAUUCGCAAGAACACCGGUGGCGAAGGCGGCCAACUGGACCAUUACUGACACUGAGAGACGAAAGCCAGGGGAGCAAACGGG
rnacentral:rRNA from 1 species